rnacentral:lncRNA from 1 species
GCGAACCGAGCCCUCCCUCCCCCGGCCCGCUGCUCAUCCCGCUGCAGUCCCAUCCCAACCGGCGCUCCGUGGGCACCGCGCCGGGCCGCAGCCCCGAGCAAAGCACCAAACGCGUCCGAACACAUCUCCAACUUUAUUGGCGGCGCUACAGAGCCCGGAGCCGACCCGGUGCGGCGGGACGGGACCCCGGCACGGGACCACAGCACAGCCCCGCGGCGCUGGGACGGCUCCUCCACACCCGGCCCGGUCUGGUCGCAGCACUACUUGGACCUCUGUCGCAUCUUCCUCCUCUUGCGCUUCAGCCUGCGCAUUCGCUUCUUGCGCCACUUAGCCCUCAUGGCGGCGCACUCGCGCCGCGCUUAGUCCCGGUGCGGCGGCGACGGCGCUGGCGGCGGAUGGAGGCGGAUGGCGGCGGCCACCAACAGCCGACAAGAUGGCGGCAGCAGCGGCCGAGAGAAAUAGUGCCGCCCGCCGUGGCUUAUUUAUAGGGCAGAGUCCGAGGCCACGCCCCCCUCCGCGCAAGGCAUGCCGGGAUCCGUAGUCGGCCUCCCCCGCAGCAUGCCGGGAGCUGUAGUCCUGAGCCCGGCCGCCAUUUUGCACAGCGCGGCCCUUCCCGUCCCGGUGCGCAGCGAACCGAACAGAACCGAACCCUCCCGCCCCAAUCAGCAGAGCCACGUCUCCGUGCAAAGAGAUGCCACGAGUCAGCUUUAUUUGGAAAACAGAGUCGGUUACAGAGAUCUUCUCGGGAGCAUUUGCUUUUCAAAAUCUUAAAACAAGUGGGUUUUCCGUUCCUUGUAUCAAGAGGUACAAUAACGUACGUAAAAAUAGAAAAUUAAAUACACCUCCAGCAAGUCUUAGUGGUUUAGAAAUCCGCGGGGUGAGGAGGAAGGAGGAGCUCCGCAUGGACACAAUAUUGCUUAAAAACACCCAAGGGUUCCCCAGGGGGGGCAGCGGAGGUGGGGGCGGUGGGACCGAAAGCUCUGCGUUGUGCCAUUCAUCCCAACGGGGGCUGCUGUCAGGUGCAGCACAGGGCACUGCCUGCAGAGCAACGCAUGCGGGACCUUCAGCACUCAGCCCCACGCGUGGCCGGUUGGGCACCACCAGCGAAGGAAAGCCCUCUGCAUCCCAACACGUGAAACCCAACGUCUGUCGGUGGGUUUGUUUCCCCCUUUAAAAAAGCUUGCUGUAGAAGAGUUGGCAGCCCCGGCUUGCUCUCAGCCUGCACCCACCGACUGCAUCAUCAUCAUCAUCAUCAUCAUCAUCAUCAUCAUGAAGAAGGGAGCCCAGCAGCACAGCACGGAGCAGCUGCCCGCCCCUCCGUGCAGCACUGGGCACUGCCUGCUUCCCCAUUUCAAAACAAGCUCACCACAGCAAUCUAUUUAAAAAUAGAGUGUUUAUAGGUAAACCAAGGCAGAGACAGGGCGCAGCGGAUGGGACAGUCUACAGUCUCACCAGGGACAUCAAAUUCAGGUUGGUUUCUUUUUUUUCCCCCCAAUUAGAAACGUACAAUCUGAAGGCUAAAAGAGUGAGAAACGCUCUGCCUCGAGGUAACGGGCAGAGAUCCUGCACGGCCGGCAGCUCUGCAGGCAGAUCCCAAACACAGGUCGCUUUUCUGAGGGCAUUAUCAGCUAUUUUGUUUUUUGUUUUCCUCCAAGAAAAUCUGCAAAAGGGAUAAAAUUAAAAACAACCAAAAAAAAAGAGGUGGAAGAAGAAAGCAGGCAGCUCUCCACGCUCCCUCUCUCAUCGGGGAUGGCUUAGUUGUUCACCUCUUUUAACAAGUAUGAGUAGUAUAAAAGGUUAGAAAGAUAUAGACUAGCUUUUACUCCUGAUUUUAUUUUCUUUUUUUUUUCUGCUCUCUUUUUGAAGUAGUCUGAAGUGGCAGAGAGAAUCCUCCCUCAUUGGCAAAAAUCAAGAGGAGCUGGUUGUAGUCAGUGGGACAUCCAGGCUGUUUGCUGUUUGAGACAAACAGUGCUAGAUUUUGUUUCUGGUUCUUUUUUGGGAGGGGGAGGGGGGGGGGAAGGGGUGUGUGUGUGUGUGUGUGUGUGUAUGUGUGAGAACUGGGUGCUAUGAAGGAGCAGGAGCUGCUCAGUCACCAGCCUCGUUCUCUUCCGCCGUCUCUCCUGUGGUGGCAUUCUCUGCAUUCUUGGAGGCCUUCUUUUUCUUCUUUUUCUGGGUCUUCCGGCUUGCAGAACUUUGUAGAAGGGCCUUCAGCUCUCCAUCUUGCACCUCAAACUCCGACUUGUAGAGCUCAGGUUCGAAGGGGCCACUGGUUAUCCUCAUAGGACCAUUAGGCAUUAAAAGCACUGUGAAUUUGAACUGUGCAACAAACUCUCCUUCCUUUUCGUAGAGGACGUUGAAGGGCUGGAGCAGCUCAUGUUUGGCGCAUUCCACCACCCCCAUCCUGGCCUUCUUCUCAUCUUCAAAUGCCCUGAGAGUAAAUGGCAUAGUAUCAAAGCGCCUCUCCACCUCGCUGAAAAAGGCACGGGAGGUUUUCAUCUUCAAACCGUACUGUUUGGAGGGGUCCCUUUUGUAAAUUGUAGUUCUCUGCCCAGCAUCCUUUGCCUUUCCCUCUCCACUGCUGACAAGAACAUCAACAGCAUAAACUUCGUGAACCUCAAAUUCUGCUUUUUCAUGGUCCUUCUUUUGCUGGUCUGUAGGGUUCUGGAUGAUUGUUUUCUCCCCAUCGAUCACGUGCUGCUUCAGCUGGUGUGACAGCAUCCCUUCAAUGGGUGUGCAGUGAAACGAGUGGGCUAUUUUGUUCCACGCGUCUGUCACUUGUGUAUUCUGGAUGAAGAACACAUGUAAACACAUUAAGGGUUUAGAACUCAAGCCAGAAGCACGACUGUUAAUUUUCACCUGGCAGCAUUUGGUGAUAAAACCAAGUGGUGCUCUAACACCUCCAAAAAAAGGAGGAAUGGUGGCAGGCUUCCAUUUUCAAUCUCCCAUCAACAAAAAUAACGUGGAACACGAGGUCAGCUCAGCCUCCUGCACUGCACCCGGUGCCUUUUCACACGCCAUUCCUUUAGGAGAUAACACGGGGAGCUGAGAGCAGUGCUGGAAGUUACUGGAAUAGUAACAUGGUGCUGAAGGGGAACGCCUACAGCUGCUGAGGCGUCUGAGCAGCGGGCAGGGG